GGGCAUUUGGUCUAGUGGUAUGAUUCUCGCUUCGGGAGCGAGAGGUCCCGAGUUCAAUUCUCGGAAUGCCCC
rnacentral:tRNA from 1 species